rnacentral:rRNA from 1 species
AUUGAACGCUGGCGGCAUGCCUUACACAUGCAAGUCGAACGGUAACGCGGGGCAACCUGGCGACGAGUGGCGAACGGGUGAGUAAUGCAUCGGAACGUACCCAGUAGUGGGGGAUAGCUCGGCGAAAGCCGGAUUAAUACCGCAUACGACCCAUGGGUGAAAGCGGGGGAUCGCAAGACCUCGCGCUGGUGGAGCGGCCGAUGUCAGAUUAGGUUGUUGGUGAGGUAAAGGCNCACCAAGCCGACGAUCUGUAGCUGGUCUGAGAGGACGACCAGCCACACUGGGACUGAGACACGGCCCAGACUCCUACGGGAGGCAGCAGUGGGGAAUUUUGGACAAUGGGGGCAACCCUGAUCCAGCGACGCCGCGUGUGUGAAGAAGGCCUGCGGGUUGUAAAGCACUUUCGGUGGGAACGAAAUAUGCCGGGCUAAUAUCCCGGCAGGCUGACGUUACUCAAUGAAGAAGCACCGGCUAACUCUGUGCCA